rnacentral:rRNA from 1 species
UACAUGUGGGGCAAGCGUUGUUCGGAAUUACUGGGCAUAAAGGGUGCGUAGGCGGCUUGGUAAGUUAGAGGUGAAAGCCCGGAGCUUAACUCCGGAACUGCCUUUAAGACUGCAUCGCUAGAAUCGUGGAGAGGUGAGUGGAAUUCCGAGUGUAGAGGUGAAAUUCGUAGAUAUUCGGAAGAACACCAGUGGCGAAGGCGACUCACUGGACACGUAUUGACGCUGAGGUGCGAAAGCGUGGGGAGCAAACAGG